UUGUGCUGAUAUACUGCUUAUUGAAUAUGAUUGUGUUAUAAAAGUCUACAGAUUCUUAAAGAAGGCACCUACUUUUUCAUAAAAAUAUUUGAAUAUUAGACCACAUCUAAGUGAUGGUGGCUCAAAAUUUCAUUCCAGGCAAGUUAAACCAAAUUACAGUCGUAGAAAGGAAGUAAGUUCUACCCCAAAAUAGCCUGUGAUCUAAUAGAAAGUAGUUCAUCCUUACAGCUCAUCCUGCAUUUUUCAUCACCAGCACCCUCCAUCUGUGCAUUACUUGUGUUGCUAUGAAUUUGGCAACAUUUUAGCAGCGAGCUACUGUUUAUAAGAAGGGAUCCCAGCAGCUAAAAGCAGCCAGUCGUUGGAUUACUCAUUACUUGCUUUGUGAGCUGCUCCAGGGAAUUUCUUGAAGAACUAUGUCAAAAUUAGCUUUAGAAAACCAGUAAUUUCAAGCGCUUCCAGAUAAGCACUGGUUAAGUCGGGGGGCUUGGAAGAAAGAUUCUUUUUGUUUGUACUGAGUGAAGAUUUUCUUCUUUUGUGCAAAGAAACAAGAGGAUAAAAAAGGACAACGUUUUCCUCUAUGCAAGAAGGAAUCUGAUUCAUUGGGAUCUCAAUCACCAAAACACCAUGAAUGCUUGCAGGAGGAUACAUUCUCUCCGUGCUCACAGACAGAAAACCAAUGGGAACAGAAGUGAGACCUGGCACAGCACCUCUGGCUUCAAGCACCAGCAUGGAGAUGAUCUUGCUACAGUCCAGACCCUCUACACAGUGAUUAUUAUGAUUCUUCUAAUGGCAAUCUGGGGAGCCUGGUCAAGAAGGGAUUCAUCCUUGUAGCAGCAGUAUGUUUUCUUUAUUAAAUACUUAACGGAAUAUUUGUGUCAAUUAUCCAUACCCAGGAGGUAUGAAAAAAAUGAUCUUGGCAUAUCUCAGUUUACUUGAAACUGCUUAAACUGUUGCUACUUGUGGAACUGGAUCUGUGAAGCAAUUUAAUAGGCAAUGUACAGAACAUGACUUUGUGAAUAACAUAUACCUGUUCACACUGUAAACAUGUUUAUAUUAUCCUUUGCAUGUAUAUGAAACUUAUUUUAAACACAAUAUGCUAGCAAGAAGAAGAGUUCAACUAAUGUUUUUCUUGGUCAAUAUUUUAUAUAUCCACUCCAGCUUUCCAUUUUUGAACUUAAGUUGUCCAGUCUCUACCUCUGCUAAGAUUACCUGUCCCAAUCCAUGGUAAAGCAUACACUGUAAACAGGCAAGUAAUCUACCAUGCCACAAUAACAUUAAAAAAAAAUAAAAAUCAAUAUAACCAGCUAUCUUACAGGCAAAGGAAGAUCUCUGAACAAGUUAAAUUCUCAUCUCAGUUGCUGUAGAGUUUCUAUGAAGGAUGGAGCUUGCUUCUGCAUAUUUUUAAUUUAGGGUAAUACCUUUGUAAACUCAGGAAUAAACCCAUGAAAUAA